rnacentral:rRNA from 1 species
CGACGAUCAGUAGAUGGUCUGAGAGGACGAUCAGCCACACUGGGAGUGAGACACGGCCCAGACUCCUACGGGAGGCAGCAGUGUGGAAUUUUGGACAAUGGGGGAAACCCUGAUCCAGCAAUGCCGCGUGUGAGAAGAGGGCCUUCGGGUUGUAAAGCACUCUUGUCAGGGAAGAAAUCCUUUGGGCUAAUACCAUAGGGGGAUGACGGUACGUGAAGAAUAAGCACCGGCUAACUACGUGCCAGCAGCCGCGGUAAUACGUAGGGUGCAAGCGUUAAUCGGAAUUACUGGGCGUAAAGCGUGUCGCAGGCGGUUGUGUAAGAUCAGGUGUGAAAUCCCCGGGCUUAACUUGGGAAUUGCAUUUGUGACUGCACGACUAGAGUGUGUCAGAGGGGGGUGGAAUUCCACGUGUAGCAGUGAAAUGCGUAGA